rnacentral:rRNA from 1 species
GGUGAACGCUGGCGGCGUGCUUAAGACAUGCAAGUCGAACGCAGUCUUCGGACUGAGUGGCGCACGGGUGAGUAACACGUAACUGACCUACCCCCAAGUCGCGAAUAACCAGCCGAAAGGAUGGCUAAUACGUGAUGUGAUGAUCCGCUGUGGCGGAUCAUUAAAGACUUGAUCGCUUGGGGAUGGGGUUGCGUUCCAUCAGCUAGUUGGUAAGGUAAAGGCUUACCAAGGCAACGACGGAUAGCCGGCCUGAGAGGGUGGCCGGCCACAGGGGCACUGAGACACGGGUCCCACUCCUACGGGAGGCAGCAGUUAGGAAUCUUCCACAAUGGGCGCAAGCCUGAUGGAGCGACGCCGCGUGAGGGAUGAAGGUUCUCGGAUCGUAAACCUCUGAACCAACGACGAAAGACCCGACAAGGGAGAUGACGGUAGUUGGGUAAUAGCACCGGCUAACUCCGUGCCAGCCGCCGCAGUAAUAC